CCUACGGGAGGCAGCAGUGGGGAAUAUUGCACAAUGGGGGAAACCCUGAUGCAGCGACGCCGCGGGAGUGAAGAAGAAGGUCGGUAGGUAAAGCUCUAGCAGCAGGGAAGAAACACACCCUCCGGGGGGGCUGACGGUACAGGACUAAGAAGCCCCGGCGAACGACGUGCCAGCAGCCGCGGUAAUACGUAGGGGGCAAGCGUGAUCCGGAUUGACGGGGUGUAAAGGGAGCGUAGUUGGCAAGGACAGGCAGAUGUGAAAACCCGGGGCCCCACCCCGGGAGUGCAUUUGAAACGGUCUGGCUAGCGUGCAGGCGCGGUAAGUGGUCUUCCUUGUGUAGCGGUUCAAUGCAUAGAUCUU
rnacentral:rRNA from 1 species